CCAUAACCCGCUCAACCACAGCCCACUCAACCACAACCCAUUCAGCCACAAGAAGAGGCAAACUUUGAGUUAGCAGAUAAUAUAGAUGAUGAGAUAUUCAAUGAAGUUGAAGUUGGAAUAAGAGAUGAAUCAAAUAUUCAAACCAAAAGAGGAAUUACAUGAUUGUCGGACAUUUGGAAUCUACCUCUUGGAACAAAAGUGGUAGUUGACUUUAACGCAACUUGUCUUCCUAUUGGAGAAGAAGGUGGUGUGUUCAAUUGUUUUAUAGGAACUGUUGCACAGAAGCCACACUUAUGCCCAAUCAAUUGCAAAAGUUGGCAUUAUGUGCUUAAUCACUACAAAGAAGAUUGUUGGAGUAUCAUUGAGUCCAAGUUUUUUAUUCCGAAUGAUGAGAGAGACCGAAUUAAGCACAACACACUGAAGUCACUUGGGGAAAAGUUGCGACAAUGGAGAUGUAACUUGAAAGCAAAAUAUUAUGAUGAGUCAAGUCAGCCACACAAGUUAUUGCAAUAGCACCUGAGACUGUUAAUCAGGAGCAAUAUGCAGAUCUUGUAGAUUAUUGGUAUUCAACUGAUGGACAUCUCCUUAGUAUUGCUAACAAGAGACGUAUGAAAGAGAAAAACAAUCCUCAUACACCUGGAUUGAAAAUUGAUGCACAACAUACCCAUGAACUGG